GUGGGUAAUUUUCCGCAAUGGGCGAAAGCCUGACGGAGCAAUGCCGCGUGGAGGUGGAAGGCCUACGGGUCGUCAACUUCUUUUCUCGGAGAAGAAACAAUGACGGUAUCUGAGGAAUAAGCAUCGGCUAACUCUGUGCUAG
rnacentral:rRNA from 1 species